GUCUACGGCCAUGCCACCCAAUCCCAUCUGAUCUCGGAAGCUAAGCAGGGUCGGGCCAGGUUAGUACUUGGAUGGGAGACCCCGUAGGAAGACCAGGUGCUGUCGGUG
rnacentral:rRNA from 1 species